rnacentral:rRNA from 1 species
UACGAAGGGUGCAAGCGUUACUCGGAAUUACUGGGCGUAAAGCGUGCGUAGGUGGUCUUUUAAGUCCGUUGUGAAAGCCCUGGGCUCAACCUGGGAAUGGCAGUGGAUACUGGAAGGCUGGAGUACGGUAGAGGAGGGUGGAAUUCCGGGUGUAGCGGUGGAAUGCGUAGAGAUCCGGAAGAACACCGGUGGCGAAGGCGGCCUGCUGGGCAGUAGCUGACGCUGAUGCGCGACAGCGUGGGGAGCAAACAGG